CUGCCGCACACCGCCUCCUCUCCAGCCAGGACGUCGUCCGGCGCCUCCUCCCCCGCCCCUCACCACCUAUGGCCUCGGCCCAUCGCCUCCUCUUCCCAUUAUGGUGUCGCCCUGCCACAUCCUCUCCCCAUCAUGGGUUCGCCUCACCGCCAACUCUUUCGCCAUCGUGUCUUAGCGCAGAUCUCGGUGCGAGCUGUUGGACACGAUGAGGGAGUGGGCAUCUUAGAGCAAACCAGAUCCUCUGCGUCUAUGCGAGCACCUCAGGCUUAGGCGGCGCGAGAUGGAGCGGAUUCGCGCCCUCGUCAAGGGACAUGGAGCUCGGGACGCUGCGCUCCCUUCUGCUUCUUCUUCUCGGAAUGUCGUGCCGCCAUGGAAGGGACUACCAACAGGUCUACCUGCUACGUGUUAGUGAUGGCCAAGCCAACCAAGGGGGAGAUUAGUGAAGAGGUGAAGGAGAAGCUGGAAUUGUAACAGUAGGCAUAUCUUAAACUGGUUUGAUGCAUGUUGGAAGACGUAUUCUCACCCACUCCGGUUAUCCGAAAUUUUAGCCUGUUA